ACCCCAGGUCAGGCGGGACUACC
rnacentral:rRNA from 1 species